rnacentral:lncRNA from 1 species
AUUGCUUAAUUUGAAACUAUGUUUCAAGACAAUGUUACAUUGAUUAGGGAAUUAGAAAAGAUGUACCAUAGACAAUAUAUCAUAUAACAUGUUGUCUGAAACCUGAUUUCCUACCUUCUAUGAGUCUUGAUUGGAAAUUCACUUGGUAUGUCAGUAUACAGCUGAAAGUAAAACCAUGGAGAUAGCUUAUCCAGGAGUCAAAUUGAAGAAUAUUGAAGACCGCAGAAAUAAACUUUGGAGCUAAUUUAAUAAUAUAGCACAUCCUUUUUCAAUAAUGUUUUACUUAUUAGAAUAGUUUGUGAGCACUCAUGCUUCUCCUAGAAAAUAGAAUAAGAAAGCCUGAAAUUGUUACUUGUUCAGAAUACUAAUGAUCUUUGUUUCACUGUCUCUAGCUUUCAAAGAAAGGACUAUCAUAUAUUAGGAAUCAUUAUUCAAGAUCAAUUUUGGCCAAGAAUCAAACUGAUCAAACAUUUUGAAGACUUUGUGUAGAGGCUCUGCCACUGAAUUGCAAACCCAACUCGGCUGAGACAAAUUUCAUUUCAAUCCACUCCAUGACCCAGCCUCAGUCAAAGAUUGGUAGAUACUUCAACUUAACAACUAAUAGAGAUAAAAGCACUGGCCAACCACCUGGAACCAAAUAUAUGUGCCUAGCAAGGACCUGAAAACCUAUUCUUGGACAUUUACUUUCAUAGCAACAAGAGAGAGAAAUAAUACAAAAUUUAUAAACACUGCCCUAAAGGAAGGCAAUAGCAUAGAUCACUCCUAUAUCCUGUCAGAUUGGAUAUGGCUAACAAGUCAAACUACAGAGCCUUUAUCCCACAUUUUCAAUUGUCAACAUCACUUCUUCCUGAACUAACAAAGGGACUGGCCCUACUCUUGAAAGACCUUUAGAGAAAGCAGAUCCCUAAGUCUGUGAGAGGAUGCUCUGUGUCAAAACCCACUAAUCACAUCCAGAGAAGCAACAUGAGAAACUACACUAUGAAGUCCAGUUGAAAUGAAACUUAACAUCACACACACACACAUACACACACACACACACACACACACACACACAAAACCAUUAGUCUAGGAAACAUUAUCAAAAGUAGACUACUCACUAAGAAGGGUCUCCCAUAAAAGUAGAAGAGAUUUCCAUUCCAUCAGAUAGAAAAAUCUCAACAUAGAAAUGCAGCAAAUAAAAAAAAGACAAGGUAACAUAACUCUUUCAAAAGUUAGCUGCCUACUGAUUUCAAAAUACUGAAGUAAAUAAAAUGUUGGACAAAGAAUUGAGAAAAUAAUUUUUAGAAAUCAUUGAAUACAAAGAAGAUACAAACAGUCAAGUAAAGGAAAAUAACGCAAGACAUGAAAGAAAAUUUAAUAAAGAGAAAGAUUCUAAAAUAGAACCAGAAAAAUUUUGGAAAUGAAAAGCUCCAUAAGUCAAAUAAAAAAUUCAGUUGAAGCUUCAAGAGAUUAGAUCAAGUAAAUCCAAUAUAGAUGAAUUAUCACAUAUAUUCAGUAAUAACAAUAAGAAAGAGUGAAUAGAAAAAAAUAUAAAUGGGAGAUCAUUAAAAGGGUAAAGUUGCAUAGAACUGGAAUAUAUAAGGGAACAAAAUCCAGGGUUAAAGCAUAGCAAACCUAUUCAGUUAAAUAAUAACUGGAAAUUUCCAAAAUCUUAAGAAAUACAUGGGCAUUUAGCUACAGCAGUCAUAUAGAAAUAUAAAUAGACAUGAACAGAAAGUAACUUCUUCAUAACACAUUAUAGUUAAAUUGCCUGUCUUAGAUAGUUUUUGAAUAGCUGACACCCAAAGUCAAAGGAAAAAAGGCUUAUUUUGUCUCACAGUUUGUAGAAGUUUCAGUUUAUAGUUGGCUGGCUCUAAGGCAAAGUGGUAUGGCAGAUCACAACAGAGGAGAAACACCUCAGAGUGGGUAGAAGACAGGAAUGUAGAAAAGCAGUAAAAUAGUGAGGAAGCAACAGCCAACCUACCUUCUUUCUGUCCCUUUAUAUCCAUCCAGGUUAUUCGCCUUUUGGAUGGUGUCAUUCAAACCCUAGGUGGGCCUUUUCAUUAUUCACAUGCAGAACUAUGGUAAAGCAAUCUGUGGAUUAAUUUAGUAAUCACACAUCCUUAAACUCAGUAUCACACAAUUUAAUCCCAGGACCACACACUCUACACCAAGCCACCUCUCAUAACUCCCACCUAUGAGUGCAUGAAACUUUGAGGGGACAUCUGAAAAUAAGCCAUAACUGCCAAAAUUAGAAAGAAAAAAAAAUAUUAACAGCUGGAAGAGAGAACUGCUAAAACAUAUAAAGGUGAAUAUAUCAGAAUAAUAACAGAUUUCUCAGCAUAAACUCUCCAGGUCUGGAGCACAUAGAAUGAC